ACAUGAAAAUAGGUAAUUGGGCACCUCUCCUUUGAUACCCAACAUAAACCUGAGGGAGAAGUGCAGAACUUGCCCAUCUGUGUGACAAACUGGGGGAGAUGUGUGAGGCGUCUGCCUGACAACACAGAGUGAGUUGAGCGGCUACAGUGUGAUAGAAAAGAGGGCAAAUUGGGGCUCAAACAGAAACGGGCACAGCGCUUUGCUUACUACUUCCAUUCUACAGAAUGGCCAUCAGCUCGUUUUAGCUUGGUCUACAUUGCAUUUGUCCAUCCGAGCUGUCCUCAUCAUCAGAACCAUCUGGGCCUACGCCACGCAAUCCUGCGGUACGAUAGCCCAUGUUGAGCAGCAUAACCUCCAGUGGAUCCGCGUUCAUUCGCCGCUGAUUGGCCUGAGCUGCGCCUUCCAUGUCCUCUACUACACUGCCAUUUUCGCGCUCGGUCUGUCAGAAAACAAAAGAAUGAAUGAGUGACAGAGACAAGAGGGAAAAGCUACACUUCUUGGACCAAAAAAAAAAAAAAAUCAAAAACUUC